GACGAACGCUGGCGGCGUGCCUAAUACAUGCAAGUCGACCUUAGUGGCGAGCGGGUGAGGAACACGUGGGUAACCUGCCCAGCAGAAUGGGGUAAACCGUGGAAACAGGUGCUAAUACUGUAUACUGGUUGAUGUACCAGGGUGGCAUUAGCUAGUUGGUGGGGUAACGGCUCACCAAGGCUACGAUGCAUAGCUGUCCUGAGAGGUUGAUCGGCCACAUUGGGACUGAGACACGGCCCAAACUCCUACGGGAGGCAGCAGUAGGGAAUCUUCGGCAAUGGACGAAAGUCUGACCGAGCAACGCCGCGUGAGUGAAGAAGGUUUUCGGAUCGUAAAGCUCUGUUGUUAGAGAAGCGGUAUCUAACCAGAAAGCCACGGCUAACUACGUGCCAGCAGCCGCGGUAAUUC
rnacentral:rRNA from 1 species